CUUUUAUCAUGUUGUAUAUUGAACAAAGAGUGUUGUUGUUUUAUAUUUCAUGUGCUAAAAAUCCCCUGGAAGAGAGGAAAUACCAUGAACUGAGCUUGUAUAGGAAAGUCUGGAUCCUCAUGUCCCUCUGUGAUUAUUGCCUGCAUAUGCAGGAGUCCUUAAGACCUUAUAGAGCUACAGCCGUUUGACAAGCGGGAGUUGGUGCUUGGAACGGACGCCUCGGGUCAGCGGUACUUGCACUUCCCACAAUUAUGUGGGGCAGACGUCAGGGUGUACCGCCAGGCCACAAUCAAAUACCCAAAGAUUUGAUCAAGCCUGAUCCAUUUGAUAGUAAAAGAUAGUUUCCAUUUGUGUACAAACCUCUACCAGUGAAGACAAAAAAAAUUGUCACCCAUUAAACAGAAAUCCAGCCCUGUCCCUUCACCAGUGAAGAUUUCCCAGCUGGAUUCACCGCAGAGAACUAGGCCCAGUAGAUUAAGACAGGCAAGUAACAUUAUUUUACAGACUUAUUCAUUCAUUUAUAUAUAUUUUGACAGAAAAAGUCUGUAUAAUGCUUUUUGUUUACCCCAUGAAACUGUACUAGUCAAUCUACUCAUUUGGGCAUAUAAUUUUUAGGCAUAGUGAAAUCUACACUGUUAUUACGAAAUUUCCAGAAAAUCAAAGUCCAAUAGUACAUGAUAAAAGAAAACAAGAAAUCUUGUCCCAAAAGUAUAUAACAGUCAUGUGGUUUGCACUGUUUCUAAUUGUUCCAAAUGUACAUAUGUAUCAUAACU